rnacentral:rRNA from 1 species
GGAAUUGGAAUGAGAACAAUGUAAAUACCUUAACGAGGAACAAUUGGAGGGACAAGUCUGGUGCCAGCAGCCGCGGUAAUUCCAGCUCCAAUAGCGUAUGACUUAAAGUUGUUGCAAGUUAAAAAGCUCGUAGUCGUAAUUUUUAAUUAUUUAUUUUUGUUUAAUUUGGAAUUUCUUUUCUAAAAGAAAUUUCUUAUUAUGAUAAAUAAUAACAUUUUUGAUAAAUUUCUGAUAAUUUAUUAAUUUAAAUUAUUAUAAAAAUUCUUUAUUCGUAAAGAAUGAAAUUAUCAAUCUUUUACUGUGAAGAAACUUGAGUGUUCAAAGCAAGCUUUUAAAAUUCCGCUUGAAAAAUUCAGCAUGGGAUAAUGAAAUAAGCUAAAAAACGUAACCAUUUUUCGCCGAUUUUCGGUUUUAGAAAGCGUUUAAGAAUGAUUGAUAGGGGCG